ACCUCAGAUCCCUUUUUCGUUCAGUUUUCUAUCUAAUCAUCUUGAUUCUCUCUUCUCCACUCAGUUAUUCACUUCUUGAACAAAUAUUCCCUGAGCAUCAGCAGGAGACAGAAUGUGAAGAACUAGAGGAGGAACCAGACAUGCCCUCAGGAACUCACAGUCUGGUGGACUUUCCACUCCUGGUAAAUCUCAGCCCUCUGAGCCACCAGUCCUUCACCUCCUACUGUCCCCUGGGAAGACUUCCUCCAGACCUGAAACACUCCUGCUACAUCACCUCAGGUCUCUGGACAACCAGAACCCCAAAAAUGACACAAAGUGCUCAGGGGCUCAGGUCUGGAAGGCUUCAGAUGCAGGAGACCAAAGAGCUCUUGAGAGGUUCCAGGAAGCUGUCCAACCCCACAGUCCGAGACCCACGGAGGAAAUGUGUUUGGGAGACCAUCUACGCCCACAUCGCUCCCUGGGCCUCUCCCCUGUGGGGAAAUUUUCCCAGCAGCAUGUGUAGCAGACAGACCGCAGGAGACACUCCGAGCUGAGCACCCAGCACCGGAUGGAUGAGAUAAUCAUAAAUCCACAAAUUGCAACAAGAUAAAAUUAUCAUUAUAUGAAGUUAAAUUAUUAAUUAGCACCUCCAAAAAAAGACCAGCACCACCUGGUCUUGAAUCUUGGAAGCUGUCUCUCUGAAAGCAACAGAAAUAUCAAAA
rnacentral:lncRNA from 1 species